rnacentral:lncRNA from 1 species
GCCGAGAUCGCGCCACUGCGCUCUAGCCUGACAGAGUGAGACUCUUUAAAAAAAAAAAAGGUAAAGCAUUCAAAUCAUAGUAUUUGAAGAAGGAGUCUCUAUUGCCCUGACCUCGUGCAGGUAAGUUCACCCAUGUGCCCAGCCCCAGGCCGGGAUACAGCCCUGACUCAUUCACGGCCUCUGCCCUUGAGGGGCCAGUCUGCCAAGGAAAAACCGACGAGGACAAUGGAUGACAUUGCUGGCUAUGAUGGGGGCACAGAUGUAGGGCUGGAGGUUGGGAUUCUGGAAUAGCUUCUUGGAGGAGGUCUGAGUCUUAAGGAUGAGUAGGGCUUUGCUUGGGCACCUUGGAAAAGAGGUCACGCUGGGCGGGGGGAGUAGCAUGACACAGGCUUGGAGGGGAAGGACCCUGCAGUGCUUCAGAGACCUAGCAGGUUUGUCAAGCUGGGUUAGGAGGGGUGGCCACGAGGUGUGUCGGGGAGGAGGGUGGAGAGGUCCCCAGGGGUGGGACCUGCCCGAGUCCUUUGCUUUUACAAGCUUCAGAGCUAAGAAGAUGGAUCUCUCUUCGGCCUAUCAGCUCAUUUUGCAGAUGGGAAAACAGGUCCAGCAGGGCCCCUUACUUGCUCCAGGACACAUGGAGAGAUGGGGCAGGAGCUUGCUUCAGGUCCCCCUGCUGGCACACAGGUUCCACAUCGUGGAUUGCAGAUUGAAAAUACUCAGAUGCAGAGCCCGUGAUACAGAGGGCCGACUGUAUAAGUUCAGAAGAGGACCUGGCGUCUAAUAAAUGCACAACAAUAAUAGUAUCAAUACUUAUUAUCACUAUUGUGGGUCUUUGCUCUGAAGAUAAAGGGAGAAGUGAUGGUUUUAGGGAAUCGUUUGGGGAGUGGAGGGUGCUUCCCCAGAUAUCUAGGAAGUGGAGAAUGACAGGGCCUUGUGUCAUACCUGGAGGCCAACUCUGAGCCCCCCACUGGCUGCUCCUAAAGGGAGAUUUGAUAAGCUACCACCAGCCAGAAUAUCUCUGCUGCUGGGAUUCACUGGUACUGUUUGCCUUUGGGGCAAAGUUAGCUGCUAGCGCCCAGUCACAGCACUUCCUGUGCUGCAGGUGACAACCUCCUCCAGCGCCAUCUGAGCCGUCCGAGUCUAGGUUCUCUAGGUUUUGCAUGAGCCGUCACAUCUCCUGCAUGCUCUUUCCCCUUUCUCUCUAACCCCAGAGGCCCCACCCCUGCCAAACCGGUGGAUCCGUGUGUUCCCCCAGCCAACUGCUGCCAUUUACUGAGGCCUGCUGCGUAUUCAGCACAUGGAUGACGCCAAAUCACAGUUUACUAAGAGGAACGUCUUGCCGUUUCCUGAAUGCGUCUCAUGCACACUGGCCUCUGCUCAUGCCCUUUCCUCUGCCUGGAACACUUUUUCCAUUGCUCUUUCGGGGAAUCUUCUUCAAGAUCCACCUCCUCUGAGAAGCCCGCCCUGACCCCUACGGUUGGACCCUGAGCUCUGGGUGUUGACCCAGAGCCCUGUGUGCUGGGUCCCUGGGAGUCGUGCCCUCUGGCCUGGAUGCUCGUUUGGGUCUUGACCCAGCCUGAUUCAUCUUCAUGAUCCCGUGGAACCUGGCACAGGAGGUGCCAGCCAAUCUCUAUUUGAUUUUUGCAAACCUUUUCUUGAUGUAUAAUUUACCUAUAGAAAAGCACAGCUAUCUUAAGUGCACACCUUGGUGGGCUUCUACAAGGUGAACACACCCAUGUGACCUCCACCCAAACUAAGAAAUCAGACCAGCACCCAGAGGCCCCUAGAGCCCCCGCCUCGCCACUGCCCCGCCCCCACUGACUUCUGCCUGUCUAUGUAGUUCUAUAAUACAUACAUCUGUAGAAUUACGUAGAAAUGAAAUUCUGCAGCGCGUGUUCUUUUGUGAGCACUUCUUUCUCCCAACGUUAUGUUUGGGAGCUUCGUCUGUGUGGUUGCGGGUAGCUAACUCAUUUUUUCCAUUGCUGUGUAUACUCCAUUGUAUGAAUCUACCACAAUGCAUUUGCCUGUUUUCCUGCAAAAUAACAUUUGGAUUGAUUCCAGCUUGGGGCUGUUACAAAUAAGGCAGCCAUGGCCACCAGGCUCCGUGCUGGGUGUCCACACACAGGCACCUGUGCUGCUCAGUUGAUCUUUCUGAAUCACUGUCUUCAAUGAUUUACUUCUCACACCCACUCCAGGAGGUGGAUGGAUUCUUCUCUCCCUUCUACAGAUGAGGAAAUGUUACAGAUGAAGUAACAUGGCCAGGCCAGGAUCCCACAGGGGAUCAGCGGCUGCACUGGGGUUCUCACUGAGGUCUGUGAGCCCCAGAGCCCAGUGGAGGGAGGAGGGGAUGAGGUGGAGGCGGCGGGUGAGGACGAGAACUGCGGAAGAGUGAAGAGGAGAGAGAAGCCAGGCUCUGGGGAGCUGCAGGCAGCCAGGCCGGGCUGCUGCGGAGUGCGUGGCCCCAGGAAUGGGGGCGUCUGGUGGUAUCUGGGCUGGCUGGAGAGGUGGUUGGGGAGAUAGUGCUCUUGGGGGGCUGGCCCCCACUGAGCCCUCAUAAGCUCUGACCAGAAGCACAGGGUGGGGAAGGGGAGCUUCCUCUUGAUGGUGACACAUCUGACUCCCUUCUCACAUCCUCCUCCCAGGCAACCCAGGGAAAUCAGGGUGGGCAGGUGAGGUUGAGGGGACUGAGCUUCAGGGAGGGGCCAUAAUAAUAAUGAUGAUGGCAGAAGUGUGAGGCUGUAGGACACAGGGUCAGGGUGGAGCAGCCCUGAGGGGGAGGGGCAAGGGAGGGCUCUGGCACUUGGGACCCAUAUGGCAAACUGCAUUGUCUGUUGGGAAGGGUUGAAGACAAGCCCGGGCCUGUCUUCUUGUGCAGCCUCUGUCCUGGGCUCGCACAUUUGGUAGGAGGAGCCAAUGAAGUAAACGGAUAGGAAAGUGUCCACACUCUGGCUGGCACGGGUGUGUGCUCACUGACGGCUGGGUCCUUUCUCUAUAACCUUUACCUCCCUGAAAAUCUCAGAUGGUGGGUCUCCGCCUGCCUGCUUCUGAGACGGUGGGUCCUGGGCCUCAGGGAGUGAGAGAGAGUGGGCCUGCUCUCCUGCAGAAGGGACUGGUCUUUGAACCCCAGAAUCGGGGGUUCUUGUGUCAUCACCACCAUCCACAUGAUAUUCCUUAUCACCAUCCUAUCCUGAUGUCCCCAUUGCCGUCACCCCCAUCACUGUCACCAACAUCACCAACAGCAUCUCUGAUCAUCACUGUCAUCACCACGCCAACUCCAACAACAUCCCAACAGCCACUCCCCGCCUCACAUGGUCACCAUGGCCAGUGCCUCCCAGGUGACACCUGGUGCACUGUUUUCACCGCAUCCCCUCUGGUACCGCCAUCCUUAUUGCCCAGCCAUGUUCAAUACUGACCCCAUUGUCCCCAUCUUCCCUGAUUUCCAUCCUCCAGCCCCUGCCCCCAUUCUUUUAGCUCAACCUGUUGCUUGCUCCUCAGAGCCACCAGGAAAAGAAACAAAUCCCCCUGCCCCUGGCCACUUCCCCAACUGGCCAGCUUGGGGAAGCUGUGUUUGUCAUUAAGAAAGAAAGGCUGCGUGCAGACGGGAAUAAGAACUGAAACCAAAGAUGGGCAGAAGAAGAGGUGAAAAGCGGGAAAGGAGAGUGGGGGUGGGAAGGGUGGCUGAGCAUGGCUGGGACCGCAGCCUGAGCCUGGCUUGGAGGCAGGAGGACAGAGCUGAUUUUGACCCUGCGACAGUUUUGGUGUGUGACCUUGGGCUGGUCGCUGUCUCUCUCUGGGCCAUAUUUCCCCGCUGGUAACAUCCUCCUCUCAGGGAAGAGACACUCCCGUGCCUUCUGAGUUUCCCUGAAGGGACUGAAACACACCUGCACCACCAGGCCUGUGGCUUUUGCACAUGAUGUCUGCUCUUUUGGAAUGCUUUCUUCUCUUCUGUGUUGGAAAACUCCUACUUGCCCCUCAAAGCCACGCUCAUGGGUUUCCUGUUGGUGAAAUUCUCCCUAAGUUUUUUAGACAGCAAUGCGCUCUCCCUCAUCAAGGACCCCAAGCCCCAUGCGUGUCCUCUGUCAUGGCUCUGAGCACACCAUUCAUGUAUCGAGUUCCCUGGAGACUGUGACACCGGCACGCCAGGGUCAGUGGCUUUUCUAGACAGAGUUUGGAGGCGGUAGGUGCUCAGAGAGUGUUUACUGAGAGUCAGUGAAUGCCCAGAGGUAGCAAAAACCACCACCCAAUUGUGCUUGUUUAUGGUGCACCUGCUGUGUGCCCGGCUCCGCGCACCACACGAUUCCAUUUGACCUCAGCAAUCCUGUGAGGCAGGUCAGUGAUUAUCCCCAUUCCUCAGAUGAGGAGCCGAGGCCCAGAGAGGUUAGUGGCUGGCUCAAGGGUGCAGAGCUCGGCUGGGGCCUGGGGCCAUCUGACCCCAGCACCCGAGCUCUUAUCUUCAUGAUCUCACCAGCAUAGAAUGAAGGGACAGUGGGUGAAAAGAUGCUGUAAUUGGGGAGCAAGUGGGUGAGGGCAUGCUGUCUGCCUGCGCAUUGUUGGGGGAGAGAAGCCUUGUACCUGUCAUGGGAUGGCUCGGGUCCCAAGGUCACAGCCCAGCUGGGCUCUCAGAGCUUGGGGAGAAGGCAGCGCUGUGUCCAGGUGGAAACCGGGGACAUGAGGGGAAGGCAAGGGCUUGGAGGCUUGGAAAUGUUGACUGUCUGCAUACUCUGUAGGUCGGCCAGGUACUUUCCAGGAACUACCAACAGCUGUUGGUUAGGGACAUGGGUGGGGCAGUGAGGGCCUUCUGAGGGGCAGGGUGCUGGCCCUGGGGUGGCUGGGGGUGGAGGACUGUGGGCAGCCUGGGUGAGAUGUCCUACAGUGUGUAGGAGCUCCACCCCACUGACCCUCCUGCGUUCUGUCAUCCCAAUGGCCCCAGGGGAAAAUGAGGGUCUCUUCUCAUUGACCAGAAUCGAAAGCUGAGGCCAGGGAGAAGCCAGAACCUGGCCAGGGCCACACAGCAGUGAGGCAGUGGAGGAGGCCUCCUGCUCCCCAGCUCUUGUCUCCUGAGCUCUGAGUGGCUGGGGCUGGGGCUUGGUUGCCAGGGAAGGGUGGGCAGAUGGCUAGAGAGAUCCUGGAGCCUCAGGGGAGCAAGUUCAACCUUGUGGGGAGCCCUGACCCCAGGAGAGAGGCAACAGGGUUCACACCCCAGCCGGGCCACGUGACACAGGACAUGUGAGUUCUCUCUCAGCCUCCAUUUCCUCAUCUGUAAAACGGGAAAAUGUUGCCUGUCUUGUAAAGUUUUGGGAGAUUGCAGUGCAAGCCUGUGCGUGCAGGUCUGAGCACACAGUAGGUGCUGAAUAAAUGUGAGUUCCUCUCCAUCCUAUGUCCUAGAGAGCCACAUGGGUGCCUGGAGAGCCGAGCUUCCUCCCUUUCUCCUGGGUCAGGGCCUGGCAUCUUCGUGGAAGGUCGGGGCCCCUCAGAGUCUAAGUCAGGCUCUGAGGUUGCCUCGCUCUGUGACUGUGGGCUGGUCCCCUGCCCUCUAUGAGUCUCGUGAGCCAUCCGGCAAUGGGGACAAAGUCCUCCCUCGUCCCCUGCCGCAGGGUUGUUGAGAAAAGGUGAAAUGGGGGAGGGUGAGCCUGGGUUUUAAAUGCAGGUGGUUUUCACAAAAGUAGAAAUACCUCUGGUGCCUGGUGCUGGGGCUGAGGGGAGGGAGGGGGGACUGCAGAGGGAGAGGGGAUGGGGGCGCCUCUCUGCCUCCACUGAGGCACUGAGGGGAAGGGUUAGGCCUUAGGCAGAGCCCGGGUGGCUGGAAGAUGCCGGGCAGCGGAGGGAAUUGGCCAAGAUUUGAACCCUAGCCCUGCAUAUGACCAGCUGGGAGGCCUUGGGCAAGGCCCUGGACCUCUCUGAGCUGCACUUUCUUCGUCUGUGAAAUGGGAAGGAAAGUAUUAAGAAUAGUCCCUUUUCUGGGUAGUGGGGAAGAUCAUGUGGCAUGGAGUUAGGCUGUACAAAUGUCCCCUUCUUCCCCUGGGGUGAUUGGAGGGGUUACAGGGCAGUAAGGGAUGCUUGGAGGAGAACAGAGGAGUUGUAGGGGGAGUUGAGGAUUAGUAGAGGUCUCUAAAGUCGGGUAAUGUCCAAGGUGACCUCAUGGCCUCAGGAGGACAAUAUUAAAAUUUCUAAAUUUUUCCAUCAUAUAAUUUUUUAAUUUCUGGAAAUUUUUUAGUAGCUGUUUUAUGAUGUUCAUGAUAAACUAGGACAGCAACACAUGCGUGUAAUUUAGAAAGAAAGAAAAAUAGAGGCGUGUGUGCAAAAGGUUUUACUGACAUAGAUGCAUGAUCAAAAUAUCUAAGUCCUCUCCGGGGUUCAGGCUAGCAGGGCUCUGAGGCAUUUUGGGGGUCAGGGGAAUGGGAAGGCAUCAGAACAGCACUGGGAGACUUGGGCUCCUCCCUCAACUUGCUGUGUGUCCUUGGGCAAGCCACCUAAUCUCUCUGAGUUUAUAAAACAAGCAGAGGAAGCUUAUAAAACAAGUACAUGCAGGCUCCUUCUAGCAAGGGGAGGUUGAGAUGAUCUGAUUCUAGGCUUUGUUCCAGAUCUCAGAUAAUCCUGGAAUCUUGAGACUUUGAAAGUCUUCUCAUUUCACAGCUGGCAGAUGCUCAUGGUCCUUCUCUAAGCCCAGCUGUGACUCAUCUGUGAUCUGCUUACAUACUCCCAGGAACAGGGAGCUCACCACUUCACAGGACACCCCGUUCUGUGCUGGACGGAGCUGUCAUCUGCCUCCCUUUCUCUUUCUCUCGUUCAAGGUGAAACUGAGAGGAGAGGGGCUGCGGCCUGGCCUUUAGGGGCUGAGGAAGGAGUUUUUUUCUCUCAGGGCUGUUUCCUGUGAGUGUCAGCCACAGCCCUCACCACACCUGCCUUCUUUUUGGGGUGUUCUCAACUUUCCUGAUGAGACAAAGCCUUUCCAGCUCACUCUUUAGCAGGUAGAGGGGGCAGUUAGAGCAUGCACCGUGCUCCUGGUACUACUGCCGAACCACGUAAGCUUGCCCCAGCCAAAAGCAGAUUCUGUUUGCUGGGCACCCCCUGCCAGUCCCUGAGCUCAGUGCUUUGCAAAUAUAAUGCAAUUUAAUCUUCACUAAAUCCAGUGAUUGCAAUUUUCCAGAUGAGGAAACUCAGAGAGGUUAAGAGACUUGCCCAAGGUCACACAGUGACCUGGAUUCAAAAUCCUCUUGAUCUGAUUCUGGAGCCCAGCUCUUCAUCACUCUUCCGUUCAGUCCCUUUCCACGCCCCUAAACAGGAUGUAAUGUGGCAGGAAGACAAGUUGAGACCUGUGUCUGAGCUAAAAAAAAAAAAAAAAAAAAAACCCACA